AAUUUCUACUUGAAGUUAUCAAAGUACAUUCAAUUUCUAUCUAAUUUCAUUCAUUACCGUGACAAAAUUACAAUCAAGGGUGGCUCAUCAAAGUUCCAUCAUUUGCAAAUAUUCAACAUCACUCAUAAUUCAUCCAAAAUUCAGGUGAUCCAAGAUUAUCGUUCAAGUUUCUGUGCAUACAAAUUUCAUUCAAAUUCAAAAAUUCAUGACUAUUCAAGUAUCAUACAUUGUUCCUCUUGCAAAAUUACAAAGUCAUUGCACAAAAAAACAAAUCUCAUCAAACCAUCUUCAUUACCCUCUCAAUUUCUCACAAAUUCUUACAAAACAGUGAAUAAGUUGCAAGAUUAUAAUCACAAAAUGGCCAGAGGAAUGAAACUAUAUCUGCCCCUGCACCAUUCCAACCUUGUUGCCAAAAAAAAAAUGCCAUCAACCAUGCUGCUGUCCAAAAUCAGCCCUGCUGCCCCUGUCCAAACCUGUCCAAAUCUGUCCAUAACUUGCAUAAAAAUGGCAAAACAAAAUCUGAUUCAAAAAAGCAAUAAAACAAUAGCCAAAUUAGUUUAA